UAUUUUAAUACCCAAAAUUUUGUUUUGUUUUGGGUACUGAGUGUGUGAAACAGUGAGAGAGUAGAGAGAGAAAUGCAUGAGAAUGCUUUGGGCCAUACAGCUGUGUGAUAUGAAAUCUAGGCAGAGAGUACAAGACCAAAGACUUGUCCACUCCACUUGAAAUGAAAGGACUUUCACUUUCUAACACAUCAGCUAACUUGUCCUUUGCUUUCUCUUGUCUUUUAAUGCAUUACAUUAACACCUAACCUCCCCUUCCCCUUCCCCAUCCCCUUCCUCUUUUCUUUAUAAAUCUCUCAACUUCUCGUUCUUGUUUCCAUGCUAACCAACAAUCUGUUUCUUUGCAGGGUAUUGAGCCAACAGCUUCAAAAUCCUCUAUCCCAAGACUUCUUAUUUGUUUUACUAUGGCUUUGAGAAGAGGGAGCUCUCUUCAGUCCAGUCCAAGGCAGCUUCUCGGUUGCUACUUAGCUGCUGACUCGUUGGCUCAAUAACUCAUCAACUGAUAUAAAUGUUUGGAUAAUGAUGUGUUUCUGAACCAACGAUGCAGGAGCCAAGUUCAGCCAUGGCUGUCACGUCUUGGACUGAAGGGAGCUCCCUCGCCAUCCACUACCUUGAAGGGAAAGGAGGAACUGAGGCUCACAGAUUCUGAGAUCAUGAAGAUGCAGCAGAUAAGAUGAGGGCUUUUUUCCACCAAGUUCUUAGACUCCCAAAUCACUAGAAAUCCGAAUAAAGAAAAGUUUUCUACAA